NNNNNNNNNNNNNNNNNNNNNNNNNNNNNNNNNNNNNNNNNNNNNNNNNNNNNNNGCGGUGCGCGCCUCCGCCGCGGCGGCGAUCCGGGCUUGCCGCCUUCCUGUGAGCACAAUGUGUGUGUAGGUAUCAGAGGUGUCCCGCAUCCCUUCAUCCGGCCGGCUCUGCUACACCCCGGGGCGGUAAAGCCCGACCGCUGGGCGGGGGAACGAGAAAGCGAGGGGUCGGGAGUGGGACAGUGAGGUCGGGAGCCCCCCGGGUCGCGAAAGCUGCGUGACUGUGGCGGGGGAGGAGGCGGGUGGGGGGGACGCGAGGGAGCCCGGCUGGGACUCCCGACCGCGGAUUCCUGGUCCCGCUCAGUCCCGGGACUGAGCGUCAGGCACGUCGCUUCACCCCCGGGAACUUCAGUUUUCUGGACAUAGAAGGAAGGGUUGGGGCUGGGGAGAGCUGGACUAACACCUCGCCUGGACCGUGAGCCAGGGCUUCCGCGGGCCCGAAUUACACCUGUGUUUACAGUUUUCCCUGAGUGACUCACGCACUGAGAUAGACUGAGUUCGAGAGAGUCCCCGGGCUAAAAACUCUUGUAACAGAGUAUGACCGCCUGCCACCUAGUCCGUCUCGUCGCCUCCUCCAGCGGCCCGAACCUUGACCUGGGUGUUUCCUCAGGGAAUUAGCGAGCGCCAGGGUCACCACCGUAAGCCUGCCUGGGUAAGGGCAAUGUGGUGGAGCGGAAUAGAAAGAAGACCCUGGAAAAACACCUGCGGCCUCCCCUCUGGCCCUCCUGCUCCCCAGAGAGGUAAUGUAUGGCAACUCCAAUUAGGUUCUCUGCCUUGCAGUCCACAGGGAUGAGCCCCUGAGCCUCCAGCCAGCUGAGAGGUGCAGGACUGGUUUCCCUUGAGAUUCCUGGGCUUGCCAUGAGAUCUGGCAGUGACAGCAGGACUGAGGGUGAGGAGGUCAAGGCUCACAAGAUGAGGAGAGAGGACUCAUCACCAGGGCACGUUGCUGGUGUUUUGCUCCAAGAGGAAUUUGCUUUCAAACAGACAUGCAUUCACUCAUCUCUUUUCUUAAAAAAAAAAAAAAAGAAAAGAAAACCACAAACACAAAAUCUCUUCCAACUCAGCUGACUGAGUCCAAGUGGGGACGACAGCACCAUUCAGUUGCAUGAUCCCACAGAGCCAGUGUCCAGAAUGAAAAUAAAUGUGACUUUUCAAAUCAGGGCAUAGUGUCGCUUUGUUUGUAAUUCAAUUAAAAGACAAGCAUCACAAUGUUAUUGUAUGAGAGGGAAGAUAAUACAGAGAUCCACAUCUUUUGGGCUGUAAUACACCAAACCUGGGCUUGACAGAUGGGCAUCAGUAUCUUGAGAAAGCCAGAAGGGGACAGUUCUUGAUCUCCAAAGGGCUAUACUGAGUGUGGUG
rnacentral:lncRNA from 1 species